CCCAGUCAGUCAGUCAGUCAGUCAGUUUCAACCAGUCAGUCAGUCAGUAAGUUUCAGCCCAGUCAGUCAGUCAAUCCGUUUCAGCCCAGUCAGUCAGUCAAUCCGUUAGUUUCUGCCCAGUCACCCAGUCAGUCAGUCAGUUUCAGCCCAGUCAGUCAGUCAGUUUCAGCCCAGUCAGUCAGUCAGUUUCAGCCAAGUCAGUCAGUCAGUCAGUCAGUUUCAGCCCAGUCAGUCAGUCAGUUUCAGCCCAGUCAGUCAGUCAGUCAGUUUCAGCCCAGUAAGUCAGUCAGCCAGUUUCUGCCUAGUCAGUCAGUCAGUCCGUUAGUUUCAGCCCAGUCAGUCAGUCAGUCAGUCAGUUUCAGCCCAGUCAGUCAGUCAGUCAGUUUCUGCCCAGUCAGUCAGUCAGUCCGUUUGUUUCUGCCCAGUCAGUCAGUCCGUUAGUUUCAGCCCAGUCAGUCAGUCAGCCAGUUUCAGCCCAGUCAGUCAGUCAGUCAGUUUCAGCCCAGUCAGUCAGUCAGUUUCAGCCCAGUCAGUCAGUCAGUUUCAGCCCAGUCAGUCAGUCAGUCAGUUUCAGCCCAGUCAGUCAGUCAGCCAGUUUCUGCCUAGUCAGUCAGUCAGUCAGUUUCAGCCCAGUCAGUCAGUCAGUCAGUUUCAGCCCAGUCAGUCAGUCAGUCAGUUUCAGCCCAGUCAGUCAGUCAGCCAGUUUCUGCCCAGUCAGUCAGUCAGUUUCAGCCCAGUCAUCAGUCAGUCAGUCAGUUUCAGCCCAGUCAGUCAGUCAGUUUCAGCCAGUCAGUUUCAGCCCAGUCACCCAGUCAGUCAGUCAGUUUCAACCAGUCAGUCAGUCAGUAAGUUUCAGCCCAGUCAGUCAGUCAAUCCGUUUCAGCCCAGUCAGUCAGUCAAUCCGUUAGUUUCUGCCCAGUCA
ensembl:lncRNA